rnacentral:rRNA from 1 species
AUCGGGUACGGGGACCGUGUCAGGCGGGCAGUUUGACUGGGGCGGUCGCCUCCUAAAGAGUAACGGAGGCGUUCCAAGGUUCCCUCAGAAUGGUUGGAAAUCAUUCGAAGAGUGCAAAGGCAGAAGGGAGCUUGACUGCGAGACCUACAAGUCGAGCAGGGACGAAAGUCGGACUUAGUGAUCCGGUGGUACCGCAUGGAAGGGCCAUCGCUCAACGGAUAAAAGCUACCCUGGGGAUAACAGGCUUAUCUCCCCCAAGAGUCCACAUCGACGGGGAGGUUUGGCACCUCGAUGUCGGCUCAUCGCAUCCUGGGGCUGAAGUAGGUCCCAAGGGUUGGGCUGUUCGCCCAUUAAAGCGGUACGCGAGCUGGGUUCAGAACGUCGUGAGACAGUUCGGUCCCUAUCUGUCGUGGGCGUAGGAAAUUUGAGAGGAGCUGUCCUUAGUACGAGAGGACCGGGAUGGACGUACCGCUGGUGCACCAGUUGUU